UACGUAGGGUGCAAGCGUUGUCCGGAAUUACUGGGCGUAAAGGGCUCGUAGGUGGCCAACUAAGUCAACCGUGAAAUCCCUCGGCUUAACCGGGGAACUGCGUUUGAUACUGGAUGGCUUGAGUUUGGGAGAGGGAUGCGGAAUUCCAGGUGUAGCGGUGAAAUGCGUAGAUAUCUGGAGGAACACCGGUGGCGAAGGCGGCAUCCUGGACCAAUACUGACGCUGAGGAGCGAAAGCUAGGGGAGCAAACGGG
rnacentral:rRNA from 1 species